GGGGUACACGAGUGGCGAACGGGUGAGUAACACGUGAGUAACCUGCCCUUGACUUUGGGAUAACUUCAGGAAACUGGGGCUAAUACCGGAUAGGAGCUCCUGCUGCAUGGUGGGGGUUGGAAAGUUUCGGCGGUUGGGGAUGGACUCGCGGCUUAUCAGCUUGUUGGUGGGGUAGUGGCUUACCAAGGCUUUGACGGGUAGCCGGCCUGAGAGGGUGAUCGGCCACAUUGGGACUGAGAUAACGGGCCGAG
rnacentral:rRNA from 1 species